rnacentral:tRNA from 1 species
AGUUCCGUAGUGUUCUACGCCAAAAUGCAAGUUUGGAGAAGCACUCAAAGGUGCCGGGGCUU